rnacentral:rRNA from 1 species
AUUGAACGCUGGCUGCCUGCCUUACACAUCCAAGUCGUACGUUAACAGUUCUUUGGAUGCUGACGAGUGGCGAACGGGUGAGUAAUACAUCGGAACGUGCCUAGUAGUUGGGCAUACCUACUCGAAACAGUGGCUAAUACCGCAUUAUAUCUAUGGAUGACAUCAGGGGAUCGCAAGACCUUGUGCUAUUAGAGCGGCCGAUGGCAGGUUAGGUAGUUGGGGGGAUAAAAGCUUACCAAGCCGACGAUCUGUAGCGGGUCUGCGAGGACGAUAAACCAGACUGGGACUGCGACACGGCCAAGACUCCUACGGGAGGCAGCAGUGGGGAAUUUUGGACAAUGGGGGAAAGCCGGAUCCAGAAAUGCCGAGUGCAGGAUGAAGGCUUUCGGGUUGUAAACUGCUUUUGUAAGGAACGAAAAAACCUGGGUUAAUACCCUGGGGUCAUGACGGUACCGUAAGAAUAAGCACCGGCUAACUACGUGCCAGCCGCCGCCGUAA